rnacentral:rRNA from 1 species
UGCAAGUCGAACGGAGUUGUGUUGAAAGCUUGCUGGGUAUACAACUUAGUGGCGGACGGGUGAGUAACACGUGAGUAACCUGCCUUUCAGAGUGGAAUAACGUUUGGAAACGAACGCUAAUACCGCAUAACAUGAGAGAACGGCAUCGUUCUUUCAUCAAAGAUUUUAUCGCUGAGAGAUGGGCUCGCGGCCGAUUAGGUAGUUGGUGAGAUAACAGCCCACCAAGCCGACGAUCGGUAGCCGGACUGAGAGGUUGAACGGCCACAUUGGGACUGAGACACGGCCCAGACUCCUACGGGAGGCAGCAGUGGGGGAUAUUGCACAAUGGAGGAAACUCUGAUGCAGCGACGCCGCGUGAGGGAAGACGGUCUUCGGAUUGUAAACCUCUGUCUUUAGGGACGAAAAAAUGACGGUACCUAAGGAGGAAGCCACGGCUAACUACGUGCCAGCAGCCGCGGUAAUACGUAGGUGGCAAGCGUUGUCCGGAAUUACUGGGUGUAAAGGGAGCGUAGGCGGGGAGACAAGUUGAAUGUUUAAACUAUCGGCUCAACUGAUAGUCGCGUUCAAAACUAUCACUCUUGAGUGCAGUAGAGGUAGGCGGAAUUCCUAGUGUAGCGGUGAAAUGCGUAGAUAUUAGGAGGAACACCAGUGGCGAAGG